AUUGAACGCUGGCGGCAGGCUUAACACAUGCAAGUCGAACGAGUGGCGGACGGGUGAGUAAUGUCUGGGAAACCGCCUGAUGGAGGGGGAUAACUACUGGAAACGGUAGCUAAUACCGCAUACCAUCAGAGGUGCCCAUAUGGGAUUAGCUUGUUGGUGGUGUAACGGCUCACCAAGGCGACGAUCCCUAGCUGGUCUGAGAGGAUGAUCGGCCACACUGGAACUUGGAAACGGUCCAGACUCCUGCGGGCAUCAGCGUUGGGGAAUAUUGCGCAAUGGGGGCAAGCCUGAUGCAGCCAUGCAGCGUGUAUGAAGAAGGCCUUCAGGUUGUAAAGUUCUUUCAGCGGGGAGGCGUUACCCGCAGAAGAAGCGCCGGCUAACUCCGUGCCAGCCGCCGCGGUAAUUC
rnacentral:rRNA from 1 species